AGCAUCGGCUAACUCCGUGCCAGCAGCCGCGGUAAUACGGAGGAUGCGAGCGUUAUCCGGAUUUAUUAGGUUUAAAGGGUGUGUAGGCGGAAACUUAAGUCAGUGGUGAAAUCCCCCGGCUCAACCGGGGAACUGCCAUAGAUACUGGGUUUCUUGAGUACAGUUGAAGUAGGCGGAAUGUGUAAUGUAGCGGGUGAAAUGCAUAGAUAUUACACAGAACACCGAUUGCGAAGGCAGCUUGCUAAGCUGUUACUGACGCUGAUGCACGAAAGCGUGGGUAGCGAACAGGAUUAGAUACCCUGGUAGUCCACGCCGUAAACGAUGAUUACUCGUUGUUGGCGAUAUAAAGUCAGCGACUGAGCGAAAGCAUUAAGUAAUCCACCUGGGGAGUACGGCGGCAACGCUGAAACUCAGAGGAAUUGACGGGGGCCCGCACAAGCGGAGGAACAUGUGGUUUAAUUCGAUGAUACGCGAGGAACCUUACCUGGGCUUAAAUGUAGCGUGACCGUGGCCGAAAGGUCACUUCCCAGCAAUGGGCAGGUUACAAGGUGCUGCAUGGCUGUCGUCAGCUCGUGCCGUGAGGUGUCGGGUUAAGUCCCAUAACGAGCGCAACCCCUAUUGUUAGUUGCCAGCGGGUAAAGCCGGGAACUCUAACGAGACUGCCACCGUAAGGUGAGAGGAAGGUGGGGAUGACGUCAAGUCAGCACGGCCCUUAUGUCCAGGGCUACACACGUGUUACAAUGGUCGGUACAAAGGGCAGCUACCUGGUGACAGGAUGCUAAUCUCAAAAACCGAUCCCAGUUCGGAUCGAAGUCUGCAACUCGACUUCGUGAAGUUGGAUUCGCUAGUAAUCGUAUAUCAGCAAUGAUACGGUGAAUACGUUCCCGGGCCUUGUACACACCGCCCGUCAAGCCAUGGAAGCCGGGGGUACCUGAAGUCCGUAACCGUAAGGAGCGGCCUAGG
rnacentral:rRNA from 1 species